CAUUUUGAACCGCAUGGUUCGAAAUUGAAAGGCGGCUUCGGCUGUCACUUAUGGAUGGACCCGCGUCGCAUUAGCUAGUUGGUGAGGUAACGGCUCACCAAGGCAACGAUGCGUAGCCGACCUGAGAGGGUGAUCGGCCACACUGGGACUGAGACACGGCCCAGACUCCUACGGGAGGCAGCAGUAGGGAAUCUUCCGCAAUGGACGAAAGUCUGACGGAGCAACGCCGCGUGAGUGAUGAAGGCUUUCGGGUCGUAAAACUCUGUUGUUAGGGAAGAACAAGUGCUAGUUGAAUAAGCUGGCACCUUGACGGUACCUAACCAGAAAGCCACGGCUAACUACGUGCCAGCAGCCGCGGUAAUACGUAGGUGGCAAGCGUUAUCCGGAAUUAUUGGGCGUAAAGCGCGCGCAGGUGGUUUCUUAAGUCUGAUGUGAAAGCCCACGGCUCAACCGUGGAGGGUCAUUGGAAACUGGGAGACUUGAGUGCAGAAGAGGAAAGUGGAAUUCCAUGUGUAGCGGUGAAAUGCGUAGAGAUAUGGAGGAACACCAGUGGCGAAGGCGACUUUCUGGUCUGUAACUGACACU
rnacentral:rRNA from 1 species